GGGCGCGUAGCUCAGCGGGAGAGCACUGCCUUCACACGGCAGGGGUCACUGGUUCAAUCCCAGUCGCGCCCA
rnacentral:tRNA from 1 species